rnacentral:rRNA from 1 species
UACAGAGGUCCCGAGCGUUGUUCGGAUUCACUGGGCGUAAAGGGUGCGUAGGCGGCUUGAAAAGUUUGAUGUGAAAGCUCAGGGCUUAACCCUGAAAUGGCAUUGAAUACUGUCGGGCUGGAGGUUUGGAGGGGGGACUGGAAUUCUUGGUGUAGCAGUGAAAUGCGUAGAUAUCAAGAGGAACACCAGUGGCGAAGGCGAGUCCCUGGACAACACCUGACACUGAGGCACGAAAGCUAGGGGAGCAAACAGG